rnacentral:misc_RNA from 1 species
CAUGAGCUUGAGCCAGAG